CGGGACGGGUGAGUAACGCGUGAGUAACCUGCCUUAUACAGGGGGAGUAACAGUCAGAAAUGGCUGCUAAUACCGCAUAAGCGCACAGAGCUGCAUGGCUCAGUGUGAAAAACUACCGGUGGUAUAAGAUGGACCCGCGUUGGAUUAGCUAGUUGGUGGGGUAACGGCCCACCAAGGCGACGAUCCAUAGCCGGCUUGAGAGGGUGAACGGCCACAUUGGGACUGAGACACGGCCCAGACUCCUACGGGAGGCAGCAUG
rnacentral:rRNA from 1 species